rnacentral:tRNA from 1 species
GCUUAGGUAGUCAAGUGGACAACGACAGCAGGCUGUUAACCUGCCCCGAAAGGUUCAUAGGUUCGAAUCCUAUCCUAAGCG